rnacentral:lncRNA from 1 species
AUUCAUGGCCAGCAGUACAAACAACUUGUAUCUUUGGCCGUAUAAUUCAGGGUUAGAUUUUAAUUCUAAGUUUAUUCUAAUCUUUAAUUGUUUCUUUUACGUAAAAAAUUUCCAUAUAAACUUUUGUUUUAAUUUAUAGGUGUCACUGGUUGUUGCUUGCUAUUGAUCCUUUAAAAGAAGUGGUAUAUUUUCUGAAUUCGAUAGAUGGUGAAUGGACAAAUUAUCCGGAUAUGAAGCAAUUAGUUGAUACGUAAGUGAGACUGUUCUAAAUAUUCGUGUAUAUUUAUGUGAGAUUGUUCUAAAUAUAUGUUUUUAUUUUGUUAGAUCAAUAAAAGUGUUCCGAUCUCAAAGACAAGCUCGAGUACCACGUACUAAAUCCAGCAACAUUACGUGGAUAAAAGUGCAGUACUUUAAUUUUCACAAUUUUGCUUAUAAUAGUGAUGCUACUUGAUAAGAAAAGAUAACUAUACAUUCUUAUUUAUUUUUCUAUGUAGUGUCCUCUACAGCGCAACGUAUCGAUUGCGGAUACUUUGUAAUGAGGUUUAUGAGGGAAAUCAUUAUAUGAAUCAAAUAGAGAUUCCAAUCACGUAUGGAUUUAUAACUUAGGAUUUGUUUUAAUAUUUAUCGAAUAUUUCAUAUUAUUUAUUACUUUUAACUAAAUCAUGCAUAUUAUGUUUUGUUAUGUAGUACUUUGAUGAAUACAAGUGUGCUCAUUACACGAGACUGCAGUUGGAACAAAUCAAGGAGGAAUUGUGUCAUAAUAUUUAUUGAGAAAAGAUUAAUUAGUAUAUAAUGGUUCAAAAUAACAUGAAUACUUUGAUGAAGAAUGGUUUCUGGUUGGCAAGUGUAUAGUUCUUUAUAUUUUAACAGAUUAGUAUGACUCCAAAUAGGCCGUAUAACAUAUUAGUUUUGACUUGUGUAUAGUUCUUUAUAAUUUUAGUGAUAUCUUUAAUUUCAUGGAUAGAUUAAUGUGUUCAUUCUUGUGUUGGUUUGCUUUAAAAAAUUACAAAUGCUUGAAUUAUGACUCCAAAUGUGUUCAGUGCCUAUCUAUCCUUGUGUUGGUUUGCUUUCAUGGGAUAGAUUAUGACUCCAAAUGCUUGAAUUAGAGAGGCUUGAUUUACAGGUUUAUGGGAUAUUCCCAAAAAAUAUUACAGGUUGAAAUGGUAGGCUUAAACUGAAGGCAGCGUUUUGUUAUUUUACUAGAGGAAAAGACAGCGCUUUUUAGUAAAAAGCCUGCUAAAGGUUGUCAAUAGAGAGCGCUUUUUACUAAAGCGCUGCUAAAGGUUGUCAAUAGAGAGCGCUUUUUAGUAAAAAGCGCUGCUAUAGGUUGUCAAUAGAGAGCGCUUUUUACUAAAAAGCGCUGCUAUAGGUUGUCAAUAGAGAGCGCUUUUUAGUAAAAAGCGCUCUAUAGGUGGUAUAUAGACAACCUUUAAGACCUUUUACUCAAAAGCGCUGCUAAAGGUUGUCAAUAGAGAGCGCUUUUUAGUAAAAAGCGCUCUUAAAGUUGUCUAUAUACCACCUUUAGCAGCGCUUUUUACUAAAAAGCGCUCUCUAUUGACAACCUUUAGCAGCGCUUUUUAGUAAACAAAAACGCUGCUAAAACCUAUAGCAGCGCCACCUACGCAGCGCUUUUAAGCGCUUUUAAAGGCCAAAAAAAGCGCUCUCAUAGGUCUUUUUUGGGCGUAGUGACGUUUGAUAAAAUAUAAGGACAAGCCCAUUUGUGUAACGAAAAAAAUAGAAAAUUAUUGGAUGUUGGGAUUCAAAACCCUUACACUCCAGGUACAGUUCACCAUGUCUAGUUAACAUAUAGUGUAGUGAAAUAUCAUAGUAAAUAACAAAAAAAAAGAUCCCAAAAAUAAGUUAUUACUGACGGUUUACAGGCACGACCAUUGUAAUAUGGGUGAUACGAAAAUCUAUUUUUGUAAUAGUGAAAUCUAGUGAUAACAUUGUAAAAAAGGGUCAGCGAUGUUUAACAACAUCAUAAAAUUCUAUCGUGAAAUCAAUUUAAAUUAUCUAAAAUACCAAAAUUUGGGGAGUUUUUUUUACAUUUUUUUCUAGUUAGAAGUCAUAAAAAAUUUUGAAAACCCCUAAAAAACUACUCAAAAUCACCUAAGUAUCGAGGACUGAGUUUGGAAAUUACAACAAUUUCACACAUUUAAUAUUUAAUGUGUCAACUUUUAACAUAUAUACUCUUAAAGAAAAACUAAAUUGACAUAAUUAAAUGUGAGUUUCACACUAUUUUGGGAGCCGGCCAAAUACCAAAGAGCUAACGUACCAAAUUGAUGUCAAUCCAUUAUAAAUAACAUAAGGUAUAAAGUCAUGUCAUGAGAUAUUCAAGGCACACUUUCUGAUCUCGUAUUUUUACUACAACUAUACUCAAAUUAUGGUUGCCCUUGGGCAUUGAUUUCUAACUUUGUAGGUCCACCCCGUGCCACCGAAUUGGAGAAUUAGCAACCAAUCGAUUCAGAAUUCAUCACUAUAAAUAUUCACCUAAUUUCGUGAUUUCAGAACAAACCCACGUUCAAAAAAUGUUGUGAUACAAGUGUGAUUUAAAAGUCACUAUAUUGUUUGAAAAAAAAUAGAGCUCCGAGCAAUAUAUAAAAUGAGAGGAAUCCUAAAAUAAAUAAUUUUUUAAGAUUUUAUUGAUAAAAAUGACACUUCUCUCACUAUGUCAUUGCUCUUUGAUCAAAUGUGGGAACACUCAACAUUUAUGAGUCAUAUCUAAUCUUCACAUUGUUUUAGGUGAAGAUGUGGUGACUGUUCCAACUUAUGUAAGUAUAUUCUUGAUUUACGUGAAUGCUCCCCAUUGACCCAUCGGGGAAAGCAAAAAAAAGAAAGAUUACACAUACAGAAGAGCGGCAAAAAAAAAGAACAAAAAAUAAAAAAAAAUUUCAACAAAAAUACAAUUUACAAUAAAUUGCAAAAACCCUCUCAACAAAUCACACUUUUUUGGACAAAAAAUUGCAAGCACUCAAAUCAACUAAUAUUUUUGUAAGAAAAAUUAUAUACUCUUUCAACACAAUUUGAUGAAAAAUAUUUCAAACUUCUUUAAUAUUAAUUCUUCCUAUUUCCACCAAUCAUAUUUAUAUUCUGUCCUUAUUACCCACCAUCAUAUUUAUAUUUCUUCCUAUUGCAAUCAAUGUUUGAACAUUGAAGUACCUUAUUCCAUAUCUAGGGUCCAUAGUGGGUUUCAGGUCAAAGAGUGAAUAUACAUACUCACAAAUUAUACAUUUAUAAUAGAUUCUACAAAUGGCCCCUAUCGUCUUUUUUAAACACUUUUACCCAUAGUCCAAAACUAACAACCAUGGGUGAAAGGGUGUAUGGAGAGACAAAUUCAAAUCCAUGCAGUAGUAAUUGUGUGUUUUUUUGUUAUAAAAAGGGUGUGUUCCCUAAUUUCUAUUUUUCAAUUAAAAAGUAAACAAAAUUUUCACCAUUGGUCCAAAAUAACAAUCAUGGUGAAAUGUGUGACAUUUCAACACGAAUUGCUUCUUUUAACAGUGGUAAAAAGUGUUAACCUUUAUAAGGAGACACUUUUCUCACUUCUAAAUGAAUUGGCGCCCGUAGCCUCCAUAAGCGAAAACCUUAAUCUCUCACGCCUUAUCCCCAAGUUCUCCAUAAAUUUGCAUACCAAUUUCUUCAAAAAACUUCCAAUUAUCUUCUCUAAACUCUUAAUGAAUCAAGGAAAGAUGACACCGAACUUGUAAGAUAGAAACACGAAAACUCAUUUCUUUUAUUUUUGUCUCACAUAUCGAUACGUAAAACAUUUCCGACCAUUCAUUUUUAUGAGUUAGGUUAUUAUUGUUCAAACGUAUAUGUCCCUUAGGGUUUAAUGUUUCUUUGUGUUGAGACAUUAACCCUAUAUGUUGUUGUGUUUUUAUUUUUGUUUAGUUAUUUUGUUGUUCUUUAGUUCGAUGGUAAUAAAAUGUUUAGAUUUAUUAUGUGUUUUGUUGUUAAGAUGAGUAUUAAAGAUUUUAUUACAAGUGGAAUGUAUUAGCACCCUUAACAUUCAUUGUACUCAAGGGAACGUUUUAAUCGUUCCUUUUCUUAAAUAUGUUUAUCUGAAGGAUACUCACGAAAGGAAAUAAGAGAAAAGAAAAGAAAGAAUAAUAGAGUGUUCGAUAAGGAUAGGCUUCAUGCCUACGAUCAUUAUAGUGCAAUAAUGAAUUUAGAGCUCCGUAGGUUCACAUAACUAAUAAAUGAAGAGGUUGAAAAAAAAGAGUGAUUAAAAAUUAUGGUUUGAACCGAAGGAUAUUGUGGUUUGAAACAAAAAGAAGGGAUGAAAACUGAAACCUAGAGGGAAAACUAACAAUUAACCAAUAUGUGAGGGGCCUAAAGAUUUAUACCACUGUUAUUGUCAUAACCAAAAAAUUAAAGAAUUAAGUGUUUGACAUCAACGGCAACAUAUCUUGGUACAAAGGUGGACAAGUGUCCUGAAAGACAACACAAACACAAGACUAACUACUAUGGAAUUCAAAAGAAUAUGGUGUUAGGUUCCAUAGAGAGACAUAGGUCACUGAGAAUGAAUGAUUUUAAUGAUUGAAGGUAUGUGAUAUGGAUCACGAAAAGAUAUGGAUGCGUGCUCGUGAAGGCAGAGAAGGAAUAAUUAUUGAUUUAUGCUCGCCAGGGUGUUCGAAGCCUUGUGCCAACGUAUUCUCACCGUGCAAUGAGAAAGUCAAGGCAUCGUUAGUUCGGCUUACGACAAAACAAAGAAUUUAUAUUUGAUUGGAUUUCAAGAGGCAAAGCCAAAUUGCUUUGAAUAGAAAAAGGGUGAAUAUUAACCAAUUAACAUGGACAAUUAGCCAAAGAAAAUAUUAAAGAAUUGGGGCAUUAACAAAUUAUGGUGAUUAGCCUGAAAAGAACAAAGAAAUGUGUAUCUGAAGUCUAAAGAACAUUGGCGUUAAACCAACAUUAUGGUAUGGCCAAAGAGACAAAAUAGGGUGUCUGCCUAAGCCACGAGGUAUGACAAGGCAACCGAAUAAAGAAAAUGAUGUUGUCUAAACACAAGGUCUGACAAGCAAUCAUGCAAAAAGAAAGCGCUUUUACCUAAGCACGAAGUCUGAUUAAAGCAAAAAAAUGCAUGAGGAAAGAGGUUUGCCUUAAGGCACAAGGCUGAACAAGGCAACCGAGAAGAAAAUGGUUUGUCUAAGGCACUGUCUGACAAGAUACCAGGCAAGAAUAAAGUGGUUUGCCUAAGCGACAGGUUGACAAGGGCACGAGAAGAAAUAAGGUUUUGUUUUAAGCACAAGGUCUGACAAGACAAACGUGCAAGAAAGAAUAAAGCAUUUGCCUAAGCUGAGGGUCUAUAACAAGGCAAAAUAAAUGCAUGAGAAUAUUUUUCUAGCCACAAGUCUGAUACAGGAAACCAAGAAGAAAGGGUUUGUAAUAAGAACAAGGUCUAACAAGGAAAACCAUGCAGAAGAAAGCGUUUUCCUAAUCACGAGGUAUGAUCAAGGCAAACUUAGAAAGUAAAGGUUUGUCUAAGCAGAAGUCUAACAAGACAACCAUGCGAGAAAGAAAAUAUUUGCCUAGCAUGAGGUCUGACAAGGAAAAUAAUGCACGAGAAGGAGGUUUGCCUAAGUGCCGAGGUCUGACAAGGCAACAAGAAUUAAAAGGGUUUGUCUAAGCACAAGGUUCUGACAAAGAACCAUACAAGAAGAAAGCAUUUUCCUAAGCACUAUGGUCUAAUAAUGCAUGAGAAGGAGAUUUCUAAGUGCGAGGUCUUGGCAAGGAAACAAGAAAGAAAAGGGUUUGUUAAGCACAAGGGUCUGACAAGACAACCAUGUGAGAGGAAAGCAUUUUCCUAAGGAUGAUGUCUGACAUGGCCAAACAAUGCACUAAGAAAAAGGUUUGACUAAGCGUGCGGGUCUGGCAAGGCAACCAAGGAAGAAAAUGGUCCAACUAAGCACCAAUGUCUUGACAAAACAACCAUGGUGAGGAAGAAAAGAGUAUUGCCAGCAUGAGGCCUGACAAGGAAACAAUGCAUUGAGAAUAGAGUGGGCCUAAGCACAAUAGGACUGAAUAAGGCUCACAACUGAAUAAGGUUGCCAAAGCCAAGAGGUUGAUAAGGAAACAAUGAUUAGGUUGAUUAAUAGGAUUCAAAGACUUGACCAUAGGGAAUUAAUCUGAAGGAUAUCUUAAUAUCAAGAAGCGUAUGAUUAAUGAUCUAAAGAUGAGGAGAGUGUUUUGAUGUACGUCAAAGAAGACUUGUCAAUUACUAUUAUUCAAAUUAAAUUAAAAGUCGACUAUGCCCAAACAAGGUUUUUUUAACAGCGAUUCUUAGACAGCGCUUUUAAAAGGAAAGCGCUGUUCUAAGGUUUAAAAUAAAAAACUAAAACACGGGAAAAUGUUCUAAAAUAAUGGAAAGCGCGUCUAACGGGGGGGUUCUUAGUGACACGCUUUUAGAAAGCGCUGUCAAUACCCCCCUUAGACAGCGCUUUUAGAAAGCGCUUUUAAAUAUAGGACCUUAAGUCAGCCUUUUGAGAAAGCGCUGUUUAAAGUCUUUCAAAUUAAAAAAAAUUAAAUUAUGAGUACUUAUGUAUGAAGAUAGUUAGGGCUUUUAGGUUGGCUGUUCCCGUCGUAGUGAAUAAUGGAAGGAAAGAGAAACUGCGCAUUUUGCUGUUUAUGCAACGAAAGAAGAGCUUUCUCUUCAAGAGACCUAAAACCCUUCAACAAAUUUUGCACUGAAUGUUUCUACCUCGCCUUCGAAAACGAGAUUUCACCAAAUCAUCCUUUCCAACCGUCUCUUCUCCCGCGGCGACCCGUUCCCUCGGCGCUUCGGCCGGUAAGACUCCACCUGUCCUCGCCUACGUUUACUAAACUCAACCCGUCCACGAUUACGGCCCUCCAAUUCUUCCUCCUCUCCGUCGACGAAGGCAUCACCGCGCUACCGCGACGAUUCCCUUGAAACCGUCAUCGAAACAGAUUCAGUAUGGAUUGCCUCUCAAAAUUGUUCCUACAAGGAUUUACUUACGAAUGACGAUGGACGAGAUUGUCAAACUAAUCGGUCUGAAGAACAAUUGCACUUGCUGCGGCGUCUUCCGCCGCCAGGCGCGAUCGGGGAGCUGCUUUCCUGAAAAGUGGAUCUCUCGCUCUUUUGGAGAUUUACUUCACCAUAGACCGCUCCCGGAUGGACACCUUAAAGUAUCGGUUGAUGUUGUAUUAGAUAAGGAUGCGUUGCUACCGAUACCUGACAUUGUUUCAGAGACAACAUUGCUGCGAGAUGAAAUAGGAUCAUUUGUUGCAUGGCCCUUGGAUCUCAUUAUCAUUGAUGAUGAGGUAUGUUGAAUUCAAAAACCACUAUGAAUCUUUUAGUAUUCAAAUGUCAAUUCUGAACCGUUAAGUUAAUUUUUUUUACAUGGUAAUUUUAGACGCCUACAAAAGGAUAACGAGUCUGUUGCAUCACAAAAAGAGGUAUAUUGAAAGUGUUAAUUAUAUGAUCCGAAUCAAAAAAUGCAUGAUUUUAUAAUUUACCUAUGUUAUAUGAUUUAUAGGUAUUUCCUCAAGGGUCACAACAACUGAGCCAGAAAAUUGGUAGUCGACAGAAAAACAAAAGGGAUCUUCCAGUGAAAUAUUUGCCAAAAAAAGGUGCUUUUGUGCCUCGAUACCAGAUAUGUCUUGAAACACUUGUUGACUCAUCAGAUAUGGCAACAACUGGUGCUAUUCGCUUACUGGAUAUGGAGGAAGAUAUCUUUGGUUAUUCAUGCACUGAAACAAUCGGAAAAGAAGAUCUGGAACAUAUUUUUCGGCAUCAAGAAUUAGGCGUCGGUGUUAUACACAAUACUCCGGUAAUCCGAUCUAUAUAUUAUUUAAUUACUUGAACAAUUUAUUUACACAUUUCAAUAAAAAUAGUCUAAUGUUUAUUAUGUUUUUAUUGAAGGUUCUUGUAUGACAAUUUCAUGCGCGGGAAUGAUCAAUUGUCAAACAGAUUCCGUUUCGUGUCUUCCUCCCUGGUCAACAAAGCAUUAAUUUGUAGGGAACCGGAUUCAUGUAGAGAGUACUUAGUCAAGAGAUUCAUGGCCAGCAGUACAAACAACUUGUAUCUUUGGCCGUAUAAUUCAGGGUUAGAUUUUAAUUCUAAGUUUAUUCUAAUCUUUAAUUGUUUCUUUUACGUAAAAAAUUUCCAUAUAAACUUUUGUUUUAAUUUAUAGUGUGCACUGGUUGUUGCUUGCUAUGAUCCUUUAAAAGAAGUGGUAUAUUUCUGAAUUCGAUAGAUGGUGAAUGGACAAAUUAUCCGGAUAUGAAACAGAUUAGUUGAUCAGUAAGUGGGAUGUUCUAAUAUUCGUGUAUAUUUAUGUGAGAUUGUUCUAAAUAUAUGUUUUUAUUUUGUUAGAUCAAUAAAAGUGUUCCGAUCUCAAAGACAAGCUCGAGUACCACGUACUAAAU